AUGGCUGGGCUGCAAAGGAUCAACGAUGCUCUGACUCUAGACUCCCUUCUGAACCUUUGGACGGCCCUACAGCAGGUCCUUCUCACUGAUCGGGAUGACAAAAUCUCUUGGAUCCACUCCUCGAAUGGAAGCUACAGCGCCAAAUCCGCUUACAAUAUUCAGUUCAUCACUCGAAUUGCAAUGCCGCAACUUGAACAGGUUUGGAAAAUCAAGGCUGAACCUAAGGACAAUCUUCAUGCAUCUACCGUGGCGGCAUACAUCGCUUAGAAUCUUUGGAAUGAGCGAAACAGAAGGGUUUUCCAACAGAAGACGACAUCCGCGCCUGGAGUACAUAGGAUGAUUAGAGAUGAGAUUGGCCUCUUUGCUGGGGCUUGGGAGUUUUAG
rnacentral:rRNA from 1 species